rnacentral:rRNA from 1 species
UGCAAGUCGUACGAUGAAGCCCUUCGGGGUGGAUUAGUGGCGAACGGGUGAGUAACACGUGGGCAAUCUGCCCUUCACUCUGGGACAAGCCCUGGAAACGGGGUCUAAUACCGGAUAACACUCUGUCCCGCAUGGGACGGGGUUAAAAGCUCCGGCGGUGAAGGAUGAGCCCGCGGCCUAUCAGCUUGUUGGUGGGGUAAUGGCCUACCAAGGCGACGACGGGUAGCCGGCCUGAGAGGGCGACCGGCCACACUGGGACUGAGACACGGCCCAGACUCCUACGGGAGGCAGCAGUGGGGAAUAUUGCACAAUGGGCGAAAGCCUGAUGCAGCGACGCCGCGUGAGGGAUGACGGCCUUCGGGUUGUAAACCUCUUUCAGCAGGGAAGAAGCGAAAGUGACGGUACCUGCAGAAGAAGCGCCGGCUAACUACGUGCCAGCAGCCGCGGUAAUACGUAGGGCGCAAGCGUUGUCCGGAAUUAUUGGGCGUAAAGAGCUCGUAGGCGGCUUGUCACGUCGGAUGUGAAAGCCCGGGGCUUAACCCCGGGUCUGCAUUCGAUACGGGCUAGCUAGAGUGUGGUAGGGGAGAUCGGAAUUCCUGGUGUAGCGGUGAAAUGCGCAGAUAUCAGGAGGAACACCGGUGGCGAAGGCGGAUCUCUGGGCCAUUACUGACGCUGAGGAGCGAAAGCGUGGGAGCGAACAGGAUUAGAUACCCUGGUAGUCCACGCCGUAAACGUUGGGAACUAGGUGUUGGCGACAUUCCACGUCGUCGGUGCCGCAGCUAACGCA